AUGCAAGUCGAACGAAGCACUUUGACAGAUCCCCUCGGGGUGAAGAUGAUUGUGACUUAGUGGCGGACGGGUGAGUAACGCGUGGGGAACCUGCCUCGUGCUGGGGGAUAACAGUUAGAAAUGACUGCUAAUACCGCAUAAGCGCACAGUAAGGCAUCUUACAGUGUGAAAAAGAUUUAUCGGCAUGAGAUGGACCCGCGUCUGAUUAGGUAGUUGCGGGGUAACGGCCCACCAAGCCCGCGAUCAGUAGCCGACUUGAGAGAGUGAUCGGCCACAUUGGGACUGAGACACGGCCCAGACUCCUACGGGAGGCAGCAGUAGGGAAUAUUGCACAAUGGGGGAAGCCCUGAUGCAGCGACGCCGCGUGAGUGAUGAAGUAUUUCGGUACGUAAAACUCUAUCAGCAGGGAAGAUAAUGACGGUACCUGACUAAGAAGCCCCGGCUAACUACGUGCCAGCCGCGGC
rnacentral:rRNA from 1 species